UACGAAGGGUGCAAGCGUUAAUCGGAAUUACUGGGCGUAAAGGGUGCGUAGGCGGUUAGUUAAGUCUGUCGUGAAAUCCCCGGGCUCAACCUGGGAAUGGCGAUGGAUACUGGCUAGCUAGAGUGUGUCAGAGGAUGGUGGAAUUCCCGGUGUAGCGGUGAAAUGCGUAGAGAUCGGGAGGAACAUCAGUGGCGAAGGCGGCCAUCUGGGACAACACUGACGCUGAAGCACGAAAGCGUGGGGGGCAAACAGG
rnacentral:rRNA from 1 species